rnacentral:rRNA from 1 species
UUUUGGUAUAUUGUUUAAAAGAUAUAGGAUAAUUUAUUAAGUAAGAAAAAUAAUUUUUUAUUUAGAAGUUAAGUAUAUAUUAUGGAAAAAUUAGUGUGGACUAUAGAGUAAAAGUAUAGUAGUAGAAAUCUUAAAUAAUUGAAAAUAUAAAAUUUUAAAAGUAAUAUUAAAUUUUUGUACCUUGGGUAUCAGGGAAAAUUAAAAUAAGCUAGAAAUAUUAGGUAUCCCGAAAGAGAAAUAGUUAAUUUUUUUUAUAGUUUUCGUGUUAAUGAAAUUAUUAAAUAAAUAUUAAAGGUGAGAUGUUAGUCGGGUUUUUUAUAUCUGGUUUUUUACGAAUGAAUUUAAUUCUAAUUUUAUUUAAAAAUUAAAAUAAGGUGAAGGGGUAGGAGGGUUGAGCUUCUUAUUCUAGAAUUUUUUUGCUAUAAAAAUAUAAUAUGUUCAUAAAAAGAUUAGGCUUAAAAGUAGCUAUAUUAGGAGUGUGUUUUAACAUAUUUUUGUGUUUAAAUUGUUUAUGUUUUUUUAGUGUAAUUAGUAAAAUAUUUUUGUUAAUGUUAAAUAAUAAGAAAAAAUGAUUUUAUGAGUAUAUUGUAGUGUGGAUUAAAAAAUUGAAAUAAGAGAGGUGUAUAAGGUUAUAAGAUAUAAAAGAGGAAUUCGGCAAAAGAAAUUUCUUGCCUGUUUAUCAAAAACAUGUCUGUUUGUAGCUAUAAAGAGUCUAGCCUGCCCACUGAAAAAUUAAAGGGCCGCGGUAUUUUGACCGUGCAAAGGUAGCAUAAUCACUAGUCUUUUAAUUGAAGGCUUGAAUGAAUGGUUGAACAAAGAAAUAACUGUCUUUUUUAUAAGAAUUGAAUUUAACUUUAAAGUGAGAAGGCUUUAAUUUACUAAAGGGACGAUAAGACCCUAUAAAGCUUUACAUGAUUAGUUGUUUUUUAUGGAUUUAUAAGUUUAAUUUUAAAAAAUAAAGUUGUGUUUUGUUGGGGUGACAUGAGUAUAAGUUUUAUAACUGCUUAGGUGUUUAAACAUAAGUUAAUGAGUUUUGAUCCUUAAUAAAGAUUACCAGAAUAAGUUACUUUAGGGAUAACAGCGUUAUUUUUCUUGAGAGUUCAUAUCGAAAGAAAAAAUUGCGACCUCGAUGUUGAAUUAAGAUUUCUUUAUAAUGCAGCAGUUAUAAUAGAAGGUCUGUUCGACCUUUAAAUUUUUACAUGAUUUGAGUUCAGACCGGUGUAAGCCAGGUUGGUUUCUAUCUUUUAGGAAAGGAAUAAUUACUUUAGUACGAAAGGAUUAAGUAAUUAAAAUAGUUUUUAUAAGUUGAAUAAUUAA